CUGCGCCGUUUUAGAAUUGCCGUCUGCCUGUAUUUUCAGCAAUGACAGCGGAGGAAGCGAACAAAGCCGUUCAGUCCGUCCGGAGCCCUGCCAGCAUGCCUAGGUGGG